GCCCGUGGCCAAACGGUUAGCGCGGUUGCCUUCCACGCAAAAGCCAUGGCUCAAUUCCUGGCCGCGGGCA
rnacentral:tRNA from 1 species